rnacentral:rRNA from 1 species
UACGGGGGGAGCAAGCGUUGUUCGGAUUUACUGGGCGUAAAGGCGCGUAGGCGGCCACUGCAAGUCAGUUGUGAAAUCUCCGGGCUUAACCCGGAAAGGUCAACUGAUACUGCAGGGCUAGAGUGCAGAAGGGGCAACUGGAAUUCUCGGUGUAGCGGUGAAAUGCGUAGAUAUCGAGAGGAACACCUGCGGCGAAGGCGGGUUGCUGGGCUGACACUGACGCUGAGGCGCGAAAGCCAGGGAGCGAACGGG